rnacentral:misc_RNA from 1 species
AACGCACAUUGCGCCCCCUGGCAUUCCGGGGGGCAUGCCUGUCCGAGCGUCAUUUCUGCCCUCAAGCGCGGCUUGUGUGUUGGGCGUGGUCCCCCGAUCCCGGGGGACCUGCCCCAAAGGCAGCGGCGACGUCCCGUCUAGGUCCUCGAGCGUAUGGGGCUUUGUCACCCGCUCGGGAGGGGCCUGCGGGCGUUGGUCACCCCUAUUUCUUAUUGUACGGUUGACCUCGGAUCAGGUAGGAGUUACCCGCUGAACUUAA